UUGUACUAGUAAAUCCCAAGAGAAUACCAGUUUUUAGAUUAAACGCUCUUACGCUCCGUUAGUAUUUAUUUAUUUAGGUGCGCGGUCAGCGUAGUAGGGACGGUGAAUUCGCAGGGGUUAACCCGUAAAGUUAAUUAUAAGAGUUGAAAUGACACGGGUACCUUGUGUAAUAAUAAUACUUGAACUCCGAAUAAAAGAUAAAAGAAGUUGAUUCAACGCCCGCUGUUGGGACUGGAUCGAAAAUGCACGUUUACAAUCAUUUCGAGCGCAUAAUGUAUAGCUUCACUUAAUCAAUUUGCGAAAAAUUCAUAAUUUAUAGCAUCGAAAACUUCUACUGCACUAGUCAGAUAGUUACAGUAUGUAUAAGUAAUACGAAAUGAGUCGAACGCGAAUUUUUCAUUGCCCGUUUUUAGCACCGUGCAAUAUAAUGUAGUGCGCGGUAAAAGAUUUCUGGGUCAUA